rnacentral:rRNA from 1 species
GUCGNACGCAGUAGCAAUACUGAGUGGCAAACGGGUGAGUAUAAUGUGGGAAUCUGCCUUUUGGUUUGGAAUAACACGGGGAAACUUGUGCUAAUACCAAAUAAGCCCUCACGGGGAAAGUUUUAACGCCGAAAGAUGAGCCCGCACUUGAUUAGCUAGUUGGUAAGGUAAAAGCUUACCAAGGCAAUGAUCAAUAGCUGUUCUUAGAGGAAGACCAGCCACAUUGGGACUGAGACACGGCCCAGACUCCUACGGGAGGCAGCAGUGGGGAAUCUUGCACAAUGGGGGAAACCCUGAUGCAGCGAUGCCGCGUGAGUGAAGAAGGCCUUUGGGUUGUAAAACUCUUUCGUCGGGGAAGAAAAUGACUGUACCCGAAUAAGAAGGUCCGGCUAACUUCGUGCCAGCAGCCGCGGUAAUACGAAGGGACCUAGCGUAGUUCGGAAUUACUGGGCUUAAAGAGCUCGUAGGUGGUUAAAAAAGUUGAUGGUGAAAUCCCAAGGCUCAACCUUGGAACUGCCAUCAAAACUUUUUAGCUAGAGUGUGAUAGAGGUAAGUGGAAUUUCUAGUGUAGAGGUGAAAUUCGUAGAUAUUAGAAAGAACACCAAAUGCGAAGGCAACUUACUGGGUCACUACUGACACUGAGGAGCGAAAGCAUGGGUAGCGAAGAGGAUUAGAUACCCUCGUAGUCCAUGCCGUAAACGAUGUGUGCUAGACGUUGGAAAUAUAUUUUUCAGUGUCGCAGCGAAAGCAUUAAGCACACCGCCUGGGGAGUACGACCGCAAGGNUAAAACUCAAAUGAAUUGACGGGGACCCGCACAAGCAGUGGAGCAUGUGGUUUAAUUCNAAGANACGCGCAGAACCUUANCNA